rnacentral:rRNA from 1 species
UGUGUGUCGUAGUUAACGCGUUAAACAGGGCGCCUGGGAAGUACGGCCGCAAGGCUAAAACCCAAAGGAAUUGACGGGGACCCGCACAAGCAGUGGAGCGCCUGGUUUAAUUCGAUGGUCAGCGAAGAACCUCACCUAGGCUUGAACUGUAGCUGCACGCUCCCAGAAACGGGAGAAUCCUUCGAGGGUGCUACAGAGGUGCUGCAUGGCUGUCGUCAGCUCGUGUCGUGAGAUGUAGGGUUAAGUCCCACAACGAGCGCAACCCCUAUUCAGUGUUAUAAUUACUCUGAAGACUGCCCUGUCCAAACGGGGAGGAAGGAGGGGACGACGUCCAGUCAUCAUGUCCCUUAUGUCUAGGGCUACACAGACGCUACAAUGGCCGGUACAAUGGGUUGCCAAACCGCGAGGUGGAGCCAAUCCCAUCAAAGCCGGUCCCAGUUCGGAUUGCAGUCUGCAACUCGACUGCAUGAAGUUGGAAUUGCUAGUAAUCGCGAAUCAGCACGUCGCGGUGAUACGUUCUCGGGUCUUGUACACACCGCCCGUCAGGGCACGGGAGUCGCUCUUGCUCGAAGUUCCCGAAUAAUUCGGGACCGAAAGUUAAGGGUGGCAAC